UUGAAAAUAAAGAAUUUUAUUCAACCUUAUCACUUUGCACGAUCAUUACUUUGAAAAACAGAGAGAAAAGAAAACCAAAAACCAUUUCUUGGCUGGUUUGAAGAAAUUCUAAGGAGAUCCAAGUGAAAAAAAAGUCAAAGAAGUGGAUUAAGCUUAGUUCUAGCCUUUUUAUGAUAUUUCUUGGUGGUUUCCAAGUGGUUUGAGGUUUAGAAAAGCUUGAAGAGAUUGUUUUCGCCGAAAAGUUGCUCGGUAAGUGAAAUUUUGUGUUUUAUGAGGUUUUUGGGGUUCUUGGAGUACAAGAUGAUUUUUGGUUAUUUUAUUGAGUUUAUAAGAGAGUAUAUAUGUUUAUAAAUGUUUGAAUAGAUGUGGAGACUCAUUUAAUUAGGGUGAUGAUCUAGAAGAUAAGAAUUUUAUCAAAAUCGAUAUAUGAUAACUUUAUGAUGAAUCAUGUUGGUAUUUGAGAUAUAUGGUUAUGGCAGGUUAUUUGAUGUUGAUUAUUGGUUGAUUUUGAUAUUUGAGGAUAGUUAAAAUUAAGGGGAAACUCUGUCAAAAUUUCUCCAAAUGUCUAAGAUAAAUCUAAUGCUCGAUCUAGGUGGUUUAAGGCAUUUUAGGCAUGAUUUGGAUAUGAAAGUUGAUAUGAUGUUUUAUGAGUAUUUUUAAAUGAUAGUUCAAUGUCUUACUGCCUUCAUUGUGAUGAGAAAUCCAUAUCAUUGUCGGGAUAAGCAUAUCAACACCUAAGACAUCACUUGUUACACGGUGAAAUAUAUUUUGGACAAAAGGUAGAGAAAGAAAUGUGUGAAUGACAUGAGGAGAACUGAAGCAUGGUCUUGACCCUGAUUUGUACAUAUGAACAUAUCGACCUUUGUGGGUUAUUUCAGUUUAUCAAUGUGAUAUUUGUAAUAAAGUGUGAAGUUAUGUUUUGAAAACAAAUUGGGUUAUUUAAUAUUUAUGUAUAAUAUGUUUGAGACACACUUUAUGUUUAAUAUAAAUAAUGUGAAAUAAAUUUUCAAGUUUAAAAAAAAAAAUGUCCAGACUUCCGCAGUAAGAAUUUAUGAUAUAGUUUUAAAACGUAACACCUCAGAUAUGGUUUUAACUAAAAUAAGUGAGGGUGUUACAGGUUCUUGGUCAUCGAGCCAUUCUUUGAUGGAUUUGGAAGAUCUUUGUGCUAGAUUGAGUCUUGAAGAAGAAGAACAGGGAAGCCUUUCUUAUGAUAGUGCAGAGGAGGUGCGGUCUAAAAUUGAUGCUAGAUGGUGCUUAGUGAGAAGAUUCUUCAGCCCAGAAAAGCCCAGCUGCUCCCUUCCUCUCAGCCCAGCCCUUCGGCCCACGACGCAAGCCAGAAGCCCUCAACCGCAUGCACCCUUAUUGGGCCCGUUUUUGUCAUGUCCAUGACCCAGUGGCCUAACAGCAACUGCCAAACCCAACAAGCUCAAAUAAGAGCAAUUUUUCUUGAGCCCAACAAUGUUCCAUUGUCCCACAAUGUCCAAAAAUAUCAUUUUUUUACCCAACUUUUCUACAUAUUUUACUACAAAAUCAAUCAUUUACCCCAAAAAUCACCUUCACAUCUUUUUACACUAAUUAUACCGUAUUAUUCUUUAUUUAAAAAUUAAUUUAAUUAAUAUAAAUUGAUUAUUUUAAACACUUUAUUUUUGGUAUAAAUAGGUAGUUUUAAGAUCAUUCUGGGGGUGCUUAAUUUUUGGGUUACCAUCAUCUUUUCUACAUUUUCUCUCUUCCUUUUGAAAGACCAUUUUGUGCCAAGUAUGUAUUUCUUAUGCAAUAUAUUUUGGAUUCUAGUUAUGUGCUUCUAAUCUUUUUCAUAAGAUUAUUAAGAUCAAAAUGAAACAACU